CUGCUAUAACAGAUUAACAAAAUUGAAUCCAACAGUUUCUUAGCAAGUGCAGACGCUUUUAAAAUCCUUUGGCUAUACUCUUUAUGACAUAGGAAAAUGGUUUCAAGUUUUUAAGAGUAGUGACGUUCAAGUCAAUGUUUCAUGAAGUUUAACCUAAAUUUAUUAUGAUUCAUAGCUUCAACUCAGAGUUCUAGAAAUUUUGAGUUGUUACAGUUCCAAAUUCUGAAAGGUUGCCUCAUCCCUGGAAAUAUGUGUAAUGUUGGAGAAAUGCUAGAUUAUAAAAUUUAUCGUUAAUUAAUAAUGAAACACACAAAGGUGUGAACAUCUCCAACUGCAGACACAACUGGUUUAUAAAAAUGACUGCAAGGUAAAAGUAGGAAUCCCAGAUCUAAAACAAGAACAAGAUAUUUCAAUACUAUGGUAUUACAAGCAUAUUGACAGCUAUUUUGAACAGACUGAAAUCAGACAGGCAAAGCUGAUCCAAGUGGAGGGCACAGAAUCAGCUAAAGCAGGGAAGCAGAGAAAGGAGUGAUUUUGCUUUCAGUCAAUGGGGCACGCAGUGUGGAUGAGGCAAAAAGAAUGGGAAAGGAUUUACAUAGAGUGACUCUGAAAACUCUUUUGACUAGUACUCCACUGGGCAGUACUGGUAGAAAAUGACUCAUAUGGCAACAGCCUCUGUUUUGACCUUUUAGGCUUAAACCCUAAGAAAGCCUUUCCUUCAUGCAUUCAUUCUCUCUACCAACUCCUCACAACUCACCUGGAGAAGAUAGAUUGUGCAAGCAAUUCUUUUGUCAUUAUUUGCUGUAACUAUUCAAGUUUGGCAUAUUCAGCAUAGUAAUAUAUAGUUUUGAUAAAAAAUAAGUAUCCAUUCUCUCCCUGAACAGUAAAAGCCUUUAAGGAUAACUACACUUAAUUAAAAAAGCCAAAAUCAAAACAAUAAUAGCCGUGUCAAUGGAUGCUCAGCAGAUUAGCUACUCUACCACUCAAGUUUUCAGGGUCAGUGGCGCAUAUUUCGCCUUCCUUCCUGUUAUUAUGGAUAAACUGUCAAUGCUCCUAGCUUUCUUUGUGUACACUAAAUCAAUGCUGCUCUAAGUGUGGGAAGCUUCCUUCCUUGAGAAAGUCUUACCACAAAAAACAAUGUCAGUUUAAUUAAACUGCAUGCUUACACUGAUGAUUUAUUUUUACGUGCAAGCUUGUCAUGGACAGGUAGCAGUUAGUUCUUGGGCUGGCAUACGUAGCAACCUUGCAUGAAAUCCUAUCCCUGCUUGCCCAAGGACAUUGCUCUUUUAAUUAUCCCUGUUUUCUUUAGCACCAAUAUUUCUGUCUUUUACUAACAGGGCAAUUCCUAUUGGUAAAUCAACAUGCUAUAAUAUCCCAUAUUCUAAAACGAACCCCAGUUCUCACAUCUCCUUCCAGGUACAGCCCUGUUCCUAUGCUCCCUUUGAUAGCAAAACUCUUCCUGUAAUUACUAUUUUCAGUUUCUCAACUCCUAUUCACUCUAAUUAGGUCUUCCUUUUCACCACUCCACUGAAACAACACUUGUCAUGGUCACCAAUAUCUACUGCACUGCCAAAUCCCGGGACCAAUUGUCUGUCCACAUCACCACCAACCUCCCAGCAGCUCUAGAUACUGCUUCCUUCUUGAAAUGCUUUCUUCACAGGAUACUGUACUCUGCUGGUUCUCAUCUUACGUCAUAGGCUGCUCUUUUUCAGUCUUCUUCACUGGAUACCUCUCCACUUCCUGACCUUUAAAAUGUGGCAUGCCCCAGGGCUCAGUCCUGCCUUUUUCUCUUUUCAGUCUGUACUUUCUUCCUCAGUGCUCUUGUUCAAUUCCAAGGCUUCAAAUCCUAACCAUACGCUGAGGAGCCCAAACGUACAUGUCCAGCCCCAACAUCAUCCCUGAGCUCCAUGCAAGCAUGUCUAGCUUUCCCUUCUACAUCUCCACUUGGAUAUCUAGUACACCUCAAACUUACGUUCAACAUGGAAUUCUUCACUUCUCUCAUCCCCAAUGUUACUCCUUUCUCCAUUUUUUCCACCUAGGUGAAUGGCACCACAAUUCAUCCUUUUACUUAGGCCAAGCAUCUAAGGAACAUCUUCCAUUACUUUUCUUCUCUCCCACCCACACCCAGUCACUUGCAAGUCUUGUCAUCCUUAUUUCCAAAACCAAUCUUCUCACUACCUUCAUUGCUAUCCGCCCGUCCAAGCCAUCAUCAACGUCUCUUACCUGGAUGGCUGCAGUAAGCUCCUAACUGGUUCUCCCUGGUUUCUCUUUGGUCUCUCCACAUAGCAAUAUCUGGGCUGUGUUCCUCCACCAACCUCAUCUUUACUGGUUCCUUCCCUCCCCACGUUUCAGCCACACUAACAGUCUUUCAGUUCCUUGAGUGUGCCACAUUUACUCUGGCCACAGGGCCUUUGUAGAUGCUACCUACUGAUAGAAUCAUUAUUCCUUUGCUGUUUGUUACCCCCUGCUUAGCUUUCAGUUCAAGCUUCACUCCUUCAUGAAGGACCCCUCCUAUUCUAGUCCAGAAUAAUGUUCCCUUCAUAACACCCUCAUAUCACUGUGCUCUUUGUCUUUAUAGUACUUAUUUUACACAUUAGGCACUGGAAAAUACUGGCUGAAUAAAUGGGUCAGUAAAUGAAUGGACGACCUCUCUAAGAAACUUUGAUUUAACAAAUCGCUUUUUGGCUAUGUAGAUCUCAUUUGAAACCCAAGUUGGUUAAUGCAUGAUAUGUUUGAGGCCAACACGCACACAAGAUAACCAAAAUAAAGACCUGAAAUUUCAACUGAAGAGAGAGGGAGUUUUUACCUUCCUCAGUAAGCAAGUGUGUUAUAAGAUUUUUCUUCUUGAAAAUAUGUAUAAAGCUGUGACUUUAUUUUUGUACUUUAUUUCACAAUGUGUAUGGGAAGGGGGUGGAGAGAAGCUUGUCUCAGAGUGUCCUGUAUUUUUGGUACUUAAUUUUCAUCUUCCUUAUGUUCCUUCUUUCUUAGAUUGAGCAGUUGUUCUCAUCAGAAACAUCUACCAGGAACUUACAGGGGGUCAUGAGAUAGCUCUGCAGCAAGCAAGAAAGAUAAGAAAUGCUUCUUGCCCUGGCAGAAUUAUGAGCAGGCACACUUGCUAUGUUAUAUAAUAUUAGGCAUGCAGGUAGAAAAAACCAAAGAACCAUACAAAUCACCAGGUGUCUGGUCACAAACUCUGGCAGAGCUUCACACAAAGCAGGCAAGCUACAAGAUUUGGAACAACACAGCUUAUAGAUGAAAGUUAAAGGCAUUUAAUUUACUUGAAAACACAGGAAGAAAGGACCAACACAUAAAAGAACAUUCAUUUUGAGGGAUGAGCAAUUCAACUGAGUUCAAGGUAGGGCAAUGGUGACUUCUCAGCCACCUGCUAUCAAUUUGACAUGCAUUAAGCACACGACUGGGUUAAUAAAAGUGGGAGUUUGGGUUAAAAUGCCCCUUUGAGAGGCCCUGAACAAAUGUUUGUCUAAGAAAGUUGAAACCAUGGAAGAAAAGGUGGUCAACUUCAGAGACGUAGAUGUAACUCCUGCAACGUGCUUCAACAUGGUUUAGCCAAGUGGAAACUUUUUCUUCCUAGUGUAUGCUCUUUAACAUAUUUAAGAUGUCCUUAACAUCUUUCAGAAAUCUACUUUUCUAUCAAUAUUAUAUGGGUUAAUAUUUUUCAUAGAUAAAACACAAAUAGUAGAGGGGUAAUUUUCAGACUAUGCUGCAUUUAUGAAGCAAAGCAAACCUCAUCUGCUUUCAUGACUCGAAUGGAGGAGAAUGGUUACAGACUAUUAAAGGAGGAGAGGAGAGGAAAGAAGAGGCAAGAGCAAGAACAUACAGCAGACUGGCUGCUCCAACUAGGCAGUGGUCUCUCUAGUUCCUGGAGUCCUGUCCAUGAAUGAGGUUGGACUUGCAGCCACCAGCCAUUGCCAGUGGAGAGGCAGCGCCAGACUCCUACCAGCACUCACAUGGGUGGCAAUGGAAUGAAGUCACCACAUGUAGCAAAGGGUGAUGGCACACUUCUUGGGUUUGCUAUGGGAGUAACCUUCUGUUUAAAUUUAUUACACAGAGCUCAUCUCUAACAAAAUCACCUUCCUAUUUGAUUAACACUGUAAAUGAAAAUUCUGAACAGUGUGUGUUUACUCAAAGGUAGAAUCUAUACUCUCAGACUGCUAUCCAUUUGUGUGACCAUAAAGUCUUUAAAACUGGAGUCAUGAUGGGGCAGAGAGAGGCAGUAUUUAAUAUCAAAAAGCCACAUGGUUGUCACAAUUUUAGGCAAGCUUAAGCAGAAAUUGUAUAUGUAAGGAAUAAAAUGUCAAUGUUACUUUCAGUUUGAAUUUCUACCACUGAAAUUUUAAUUCAAUCCAAAAUAUUCCUCUGCACAUGAGUCAGGCAGAAUGACCAAAUGUUGAUGCUGCAUGAUGAUGAUGUCCAUAGCCUAGACCUCUUCCCAUCUGGCUCCUUGGAUUAUCUCACAGCCCUUCCCAGGUACCCAGAAUGUUUGCUCUUUGGUUAUAAGGCCAGAUGCAUGAGCAAAAACUCCCACCUAAAUCUGUAGCAUGCGGACAUCCAAAUGAAUAGACAUUUGAUUCUACUCACAGAUAUCAAACUAAAUAUGUUAAAUUCUAGAGAGCUAUUUCAACAGUCUCAAUUAAUCUUCAAAAUGGAAAAGCUGCUUCUGUACUUAUGUAAAAUAUAAUAUGCUAUGUUGUACUAUUUGUUACUUCACAAAGUUUUUAACACAUCAUUUUAACACCUCCAAGUCUAUAAAUGUAUACUGCAGCAGAAGCCAUAUUGAGCAUAUAUAAUCAAAAUCGAAUCCUAUAUUCCUGCAGCUCUCACCACCAUCAAAGCUUGCCAUCUGGAGAAAACACAGGGCGACCGUGGCCUAUGGAUAGAUGCUUAGAGAAUCCAACCUUCAUCCUGAGCAUGAGGGUGUUGGCGUUCGGAAAAGAGGAAGAAGGGGAAGCAGGCAAAUGUGGGCUUGGAGAGUGAGAAUGCUAAUGAAAUAGGGUAAAUAACAAGCUUGGAAGUGAAGACCAGGCCAGUUUCCUAGAGCACUUUUCCAUUCUGUAUCCUGAGACUCUGGAGACAGGAAGUGGAGAGAGCAGAUAAAUCCAUGACACAGUACUCUCCGGGAUCAGCUCCUGCCAUUCCGACUGCCCUAAUAUCCUUUCCUGCCUCCUCUCUCUUCUAGUAUUGCUCUCAGAUCAUGCUGGAUAUGCUUAAUAUAAACUGAAUUUAUCAUCUUCUAGAGAUUCCAAUAUCGGCUUUAUGUCAAUAACCUCCCAAAUGCCUGUAUUUGGUUCUGAAGUUUCCUCGGGGCAGUAUUUUCAGCUCUCUAUUGGCCAUACCACUUGGAUAAACAAAAGAACUUCAAUCUCCAUGUGUCCAACUCAAGGGUCAUGUCUUAUUCCCAGUGUUGGGCAGAUGCUUCACGUAUGUAUUUUGUUAAGAAGAAUUAAGAAACAUCAGAAAUGAU